rnacentral:tRNA from 1 species
CCUGGUGGCUCAGAGGGUAAAGCGUCUGCCUGCAAUGCAGGAGACCCAGAUUCGAUCCCUGGGUCAGGA